rnacentral:rRNA from 1 species
UGAGUUUGAUCAUGGCUCAGGACGAACGCUGGCGGCGUGCCUAAUACAUGCAAGUUGAGCGGACAGGUGGGAGCUUGCUCCCUGAUGUUAGCGGCGGACGGGUGAGUAACACGUGGGUAACCUGCCUGUAAGACUGGGAUAACUCCGGGAAACCGGGGCUAAUACCGGAUGGUUGUUUGAACCGCAUGGUUCAAACAUAAAAGGUGGCUUCGGCUACCACUUACAGAUGGACCCGCGGCGCAUUAGCUAGUUGGUGAGGUAACGGCUCACCAAGGCAACGAUGCGUAGCCGACCUGAGAGGGUGAUCGGCCACACUGGGACUGAGACACGGCCCAGACCCCUACGGGAGGCAGCAGUAGGGAAUCUUCCGCAAUGGACGAAAGUCUGACGGAGCAACGCCGCGUGAGUGAUGAAGGUUUUCGGAUCGUAAAGCUCUGUUGUUAGGGAAGAACAAGUACCGUUCGAACAGGGCGGUACCUUGACGGUACCUAACCAGAAAGCCACGGCUAACUACGUGCCAGCAGCCGCGGUAAUACGUAGGUGGCAAGCGUUUUCCGGAAUUAUUGGGCGUAAAGGGCUCGCAGGCGGUUUCUUAAGUCUGAUGUGAAAGCCCCCGGCUCAACCGGGGAGGGUCAUUGGAAACUGGGGAACUUGAGUGCAGAAGAGGAGAGUGGAAUUCCACGUGUAGCGGUGAAAUGCGUAGAGAUGUGGAGGAACACCAGUGGCGAAGGCGACUCUCUGGUCUGUAACUGACGCUGAGGAGCGAAAGCGUGGGGAGCGAACAGGAUUAGAUACCCUGGUAGUCCACGCCGUAAACGAUGAGUGCUAAGUGUUAGGGGGUUUCCGCCCCUUAGUGCUGCAGCUAACGCAUUAAGCACUCCGCCUGGGGAGUACGGUCGCAAGACUGAAACUCAAAGGAAUUGACGGGGGCCCGCACAAGCGGUGGAGCAUGUGGUUUAAUUCGAAGCAACGCGAAGAACCUUACCAGGUCUUGACAUCCUCUGACAAUCCUAGAGAUAGGACGUCCCCUUCGGGGGCAGAGUGACAGGUGGUGCAUGGUUGUCGUCAGCUCGUGCCGUGAGAUGUUGGGUUAAGUCCCGCAACGAGCGCAACCCUUGAUCUUAGUUGCCAGCAUUCAGUUGGGCACUCUAAGGUGACUGCCGGUGACAAACCGGAGGAAGGUGGGGAUGACGUCAAAUCAUCAUGCCCCUUAUGACCUGGGCUACACACGUGCUACAAUGGACAGAACAAAGGGCAGCGAAACCGCGAGGUUAAGCCAAUCCCACAAAUCUGUUCUCAGUUCGGAUCGCAGUCUGCAACUCGACUGCGUGAAGCUGGAAUCGCUAGUAAUCGCGGAUCAGCAUGCCGCGGUGAAUACGUUCCCGGGCCUUGUACACACCGCCCGUCACACCACGAGAGUUUGUAACACCCGAAGUCGGUGAGGUAACCUUUUAGGAGCCAGCCGCCGAAGGUGGGACAGAUGAUUGGGGUGAAGUCGUAACAAGGUAUCCA